rnacentral:rRNA from 1 species
AAACUGGAGAGUUUGAUCCUGGCUCAGAGCGAACGCUAGCGGCGGGCCUAACACAUGCAAGUCGAGCGGGGACCUUCGGGUCUUUAGCGGCGGACGGGUGAGUAACACGUAGGUAAUGUGUCCUCUGGUGGGGAAUAACCGUGGGAAACCAUGGCUAAUACCGCAUAUCGUGCUUCGGCGUGAAAGCCCUCGAGUGAAAUCGAAGGCGCCAGUUGAGCAGCCUGCGUCCCAUUAUUUAGUCCUAGUUGGUGGGGUAAUGGCCUACCAAGGGUACGAUGGGUAGCUGGUCUGAGAGGAUGAUCAGCCACACUGGAACUGAGACACGGUCCAGUCUACUACGGGAGGCAGCAGUAAGGUAUAUUGCUCAAUGGGAGAAAUCCUGAUGCAGCGACGCCGCGUGUGGGAAGAAGGAGCUUAGCUUCGUAAACCACUGUCGGAGGGGACGAAUGGUAGGUUAGACCUACUGAGACGGUACCCUCAAAGGAAGGGUCGGCUAACUACGUGCCAGCAGCCGCGGUAAUACGUAGGACCCAAGCGUUGUCCGGAUUUACUGGGUGUAAAGGGAGCGCAGGCGGAUUAUUAAGUCGAUUGUGAAAUCUUGCGGCUCAACCGCAAAACAGCAGUCGAUACUGAUGAUCUUGAGUGUGGAAGAGAGUGGCGGAAUUCAUGGUGUAGCAGUGAAAUGCGUAGAUAUCAUGAAGAACACCGGUUGCGAAGGCGGCCACUUAGUCCAUUACUGACGCUCAUGCUCGAAAGCGUGGGGAUCAAACAGGAUUAGAUACCCUGGUAGUCCAUGCCCUAAACGAUGAUCACUUGAUGUCGGCCCUCAGGGUCGGUGUCGUAGCUAACGCGUUAAGUGAUCCACCUGGGGAGUACGCUCGCAAGGGUGAAACUCAAAGGAAUUGACGGGGGCCCGCACAAGCA